UUUUGUAUUAAUACAUCGUUUUAAGACACUUUGUAUAUUUAUAAAGAUAUAAGGAACGAUUUCGCCUCAAAUCGAUCCUUAUAUAUCUUGUUAUCUCUUACAUGUAGAAUUUUACCCUCAAACCGCCGAGGUCACUUGCGGGCGAGGCGCUACAUUUGACAUAUCAACACAAAUUCGUCAACUUUGAAGGAUUUAUGUUUCUAUCAGGUCAAGUUUGUAUAAAGUAAAGACUAAGAAAGUAGUCUUAUUUAAGAGACUGUCCUGAGACUUUGAUAUGUUUGUCAGAAAACUGUACUUUUUUAACAAACAACGGGUGUCAUAGAUCCCUGAGCAGGUAAGGUAUGGUUUGCAGGAGAAGUAGCGAUAAAAAUGUUGGUUAUACUAAAAGUAAGUAAUAACCAAACGUGAUUUCUAAAAGUACUCAUAUAGAACGCUACUCAAAUAGCGGAUAAAUCGAGAUAAACACUUAAAUGUACACAAAUAUAAGAAACAUGUCAUGACUUGUUUGAUUGAAGUAUUAUUUACAUCUCAACUUUGAUAUAAUUUCUUAAUUUAUUUUAUUUUACCAUGAGUGUGUUUCACAAAGAUUAGUUGAUACCUUCCAGCUUCAAUUUGUUUGAAAAUUCCCAAUAAACAAUUAAAACUUAUUUAUAUUAAUCACCACAAAAUUGUCGAGAUGAUUCACAAUUUACAUUUUGAUAAGAUAUUACUCAAAAAAAAAGAAUCAUUUCCUCGGUUUUAACAUUAAUAAUUUCUAGAAUAUUCUAGAAGGAUACAUUAUUCAAUUUAAAAAGAGAGGAGAAGAUAAGAGACGGUAAGAAAGGAAGAAAGGCCUCGAAAAAAGCGUGUUUGAACGUGUUUAAAGAGUCUCGUUUAUGUUCUAGAAUUUUAAGGAGAAAUAACAAUUUUAUCAGCAAGAAAUUAAUAAAUUUGUUUAAAAACAAUUACGAAACGAAUUAAUCUUUUUUUUAACUGUUUUAAAACCUUGCACAAUUAAGGUUUAAAACACAAUCUUCAAGGUUUCUAUGACUAAUCCGAAUCGAUACAUAUUUUGAAAUUAAAUCCCAUUUAAAUAAAAAUAUUUAAAAACGAUAAAUCGACGUCAUUAAACGGUUAAUAUCAUCAUCAACGUCUUUUUGAGACGUGCACAACGUGGUUGUCGUCACGUACUUGUUAUCUCUGCACCGUUUUAACAUUUUUAUUCCUUUGUAAUUUUUUCUUUCUUUUGUAGCUCUUCCAACCAAAGCAAAAAAGAUACAAUUAACGUGGAUUAAAGUACGACCUCGCUUUUUUCCCUCUUUUUAACUAAGCAUUAUCACAGAAUGACUCAUUAUUGUAAAACGUGCUUAUUAACUCGUAUAAUGCGGCAAGUAGUCACUAACUAAAAAUGUUGCAUCAGAUAUUUUUCAGCUUAUCUUUAGAUGUUGAGGUUGCAUCAGAAUCUUAAUUUAAAUUAAUUUUUAGGUUAUGUUUAAUUUUAAUUUGACGUUUCAAGGUUAUAUAAAAUUUUUUUUUUCUUAAGUUUGUAGUAACUAUAAUCCCGUUUUGUUUUUGUUUUUAAUGAGACGCCGUAUUUCGUGGUAAAUUAAUGAAGAAAAAGGGGGUAAAUUUGAUGUUAAAAAAGAAAAUUAUCCCCAAAGUGAGUUUUAUUAAAGCUUUUUUACGUUUUCUUUUUGUUUUGCAGGAAGAAUUGCGAUUUUUAAAACCGGGGUGAUUCUAACCUGUAAAAUUUUUUUGGUGCUUUCAAGUUGGUAUCAGUUAUCAAUAAUUAGUGGUCCGUGCCUAAUUCUGCCUGUCUUAUUACCUUCACAUCUUGUACUGGAUAUCUAAAAAAAAAAACAUCUCAUCGAUUUCUAUUAAUAAAAUGGAUAAGUGGAAAACAUCAUCUGUUACAUAUCUUUAUGACAAAACGGCAGCUGUUUGCCGUCUAAAUAUUCAUCUGCAUUGAAUGGAACGCCGUGAAUGGAGGUUACUCGAAGAAACGAGUUGUUCAUUCCAUUUCUGUAAAACCCGAAACUCCAAGUGUGGAUAAAUGGAUUCGAUGAUGAAUGUUUAAAAUUUAUUGGAAUUAAGAAAUGAGUUAAAGAAACUUGAAUUAUAAAAAGAAGAACAAAGGUUUUCGUGCUUGAACACGUUAUGACAAGUUCAUAGCCAGGUUGUAGCUAUUUUUAAGAACAACUCAUGAUUCUCCAUUACAUCUCAACCCGCAAAAUGGGAGAUCUUAAAAGAUAAGGUUCUAGAUGGACACCUGUGAUACGUGCCGUACAAAACGUUUCUACUUUAUAACUCGUUUCUUCUACGCCCCGGGGGCAAAGGAGCCACUCCCGGCGCUUGAUGCCGUCGCUCCUCCGCCAGAUUUAAAAAUAAUUAAAUCUCCGAGGUCAGAAAACAGAGACAACGCCGGUAGAAAAUCAACUUUCUCCGUAACUGGUGUGGCGCCUCAACCCAAUAAACAAAUUCAAGAAACCAGGUCAGAACUACAAAGUACAAAGCAUCAAGAAUCUAAUACGGUUUUCGUGCUUCAACACGUUAUGACAAGUUCAUAGCCAGGUUGUAGCUAUUUUUAAGAACUACUCAUGAUUCUCCAUUAAGCAG